rnacentral:rRNA from 1 species
GCAUGUCUCAGUACAAGCCAUAUUAAGGUGAAACCGCGAAAGGCUCAUUAAAUCAGUUAUGGUUCCUUAGAUCGUACCCACAUUUACUUGGAUAACUGUGGUAAUUCUAGAGCUAAUACAUGCAAACAGAGCUCUGACCGGAGACGGAAGGAGUGCUUUUAUUAGAUCAAAACCAAUCGGCGGCAGUUUUGUUUCGGCUUUACUGUUCGUCGCAUUUUUUGGUGAUACUGAAUAACUUUUGGCUGAUCGCACGGUCUUGCACCGGCGACGCAUCUUUCAAAUGUCUGCCUUAUCAACUGUCGAUGGUAGGUUCUGCGCCUACCAUGGUUGUAACGGGUAACGGGGAAUCAGGGUUCGAUUCCGGAGAGGGAGCCUGAGAAACGGCUACCACAUCCAAGGAAGGCAGCAGGCGCGCAAAUUACCCACUCCCGGCACGGGGAGGUAGUGACGAAAAAUAACGAUACGGGACUCAUCCGAGGCCCCGUAAUCGGAAUGAGUACACUUUAAAUCCUAUAACAAGGACCAAUUGGAGGGCAAGUCUGGUGCCAGCAGCCGCGGUAAUUCCAGCUCCAAUAGCGUAUAUUAAAGUUGUUGCGGUUAAAAAGCUCGUAGUUGAAUUUGUGUCCCGCGCUGUCGGUUCACCGCCCGCGGUGUUUAACUGGCACGUUUCGCGGGACGUCCUGCCGGUGGACGUGUAUUCAGCGUGUUCCUUCCAUCAUUUCAUUCGUAUUUACAUUAGCAUACUGUCUGGUGUUUACUAUUUAUUAGUUUAUUUGUGAAUUGUUUAUAGUGAUCUUUAAUCGGUUCUCUAUAUCAGUUUCAAAUUGCUUUUAUCUAAAGUAUUCAUUCUAUUGGCUUUAUGCGUGUGUACGCGUGGUGGUGUGUGGGGUUCCGUUGUGGUACCGUCCGACUAACGAAUCCUGUCGCGGUGCUCUUAAUUGAGUGUCGAGGCGGGCCGGCACGUUUACUUUGAACAAAUUAGAGUGCUCAAAGCAGGCUAAAAUUUCGCCUGAAUACUGUGUGCAUGGAAUAAUUGAACAGGACCUCGGUUCUAUUUUGUUGGUUUUCGGAACCCCGAGGUAAUGAUUAAUAGGGACAGAUGGGGGCAUUCGUAUUGCGACGUUAGAGGUGAAAUUCUUGGAUCGUCGCAAGACGGACAGAAGCGAAAGCAUUUGCCAAAAAUGUUUUCAUUAAUCAAGAACGAAAGUCAGAGGUUCGAAGGCGAUCAGAUACCGCCCUAGUUCUGACCAUAAACGAUGCCAGCUAGCGAUCCGCCGACGUUCCUCCGAUGACUCGGCGGGCAGCUUCCGGGAAACCAAAGCUUUUGGGUUCCGGGGGAAGUAUGGUUGCAAAGCUGAAACUUAAAGGAAUUGACGGAAGGGCACCACCAGGAGUGGAGCCUGCGGCUUAAUUUGACUCAACACGGGAAACCUCACCAGGCCCGGACACCGGAAGGAUUGACAGAUUGAUAGCUCUUUCUUGAUUCGGUGGGUGGUGGUGCAUGGCCGUUCUUAGUUGGUGGAGUGAUUUGUCUGGUUAAUUCCGAUAACGAACGAGACUCUAGCCUGCUAACUAGGCGUUACUUACCGGUAUCCUGAAGGCUUGAAUUAUUCGUUACCUGGCAUGAGUGUACGUUGCGCCUUCUUCUCAUAUUUUAUCUAUUUCAUUUUAUAUAUAUAUAUGUUUGGCGUUUCGGCGUUUUUGCAUAUAUGUAUGUUGGUGUUUUAGGUUUGUAUGGGUUGUGGGGUUGCGCUGCUUGUGUUUUCAGUACGAAUGUAUUCAGUUUUUACUACCGGCGUACAUAUAAAUCUUCUUAGAGGGACAGGCGGCUUUUAGCCGCACGAGAUUGAGCAAUAACAGGUCUGUGAUGCCCUUAGAUGUUCUGGGCCGCACGCGCGCUACACUGAAGGAAUCAGCGUGUUUUCCCUGGCCGAACGGUCCGGGUAACCCGCUGAACCUCCUUCGUGCUAGGGAUUGGGGCUUGCAAUUCUUCCCCAUGAACGAGGAAUUCCCAGUAAGCGCGAGUCAUAAGCUUGCGUUGAUUACGUCCCUGCCCUUUGUACACACCGCCCGUCGCUACUACCGAUUGAAUGAUUUAGUG